UGAGACCUGAGUAACUCUCAUUAAAGUGUAAGAACCCAUGACACAAUCUUCAGCUCAUUGCCUCCUAAUAGCAUAACGGUAGUUCAAACCUUAGCCUGUCUCCCUCAAUAUGACGCUGUACAUCUUUUCAGAAAAAUGGAGAGGUAUUCCACUCUAGAUUGCUCCUAUAACAGUGGUUCUCAAUGGGGAAGAGAGGGGGAUUUGGGCUCCCAGCAGACAUUAGGCAAUGUCUGAAGAUAUUUUUGAUUGUCAUAACUAUGAGGGGGUGGGGGAGGAUGUUAGCAGCAUGGAAUUGGUUGUUAAACUCCCUACGAUGUCCGGAACAGCCUUCAAACCAAAGAAUUAUCCAUCCCAAAGUAGCCAGUUGUUCAAGAUGUACUAGCUCAUUUAUGACCCCAGCCUGUGUGGUUUGACAGGAAUGACUCCACCUACAGUCCAUCCAAGGUGGACAAAACCCAGCAGAGAAUGCAACCAACACAGGGAACACAGACAAAGAAGAAGAGAAGGAAGACCAAGCCUCACAUCAUCGUUGGAGCCCUGGAUUCAGCAAUGACCCAGGCUGGUUCUCACUCCUGGACAGUUCAACUUCCU
rnacentral:lncRNA from 1 species